GCCAGGCGCGGUGGCACGUGUCUGUAGUCCCAGCUAUUCAGGAGGCUGAGGCUGGAGGAUCUUGAGUCCAGGAGUUCUGGGCUGUAGUGCGCUAUGCUGGUUGGGUGUCCGCACUAAGUUCAGCAUCAAUAUGGUGACCUCCUGGAAGCUGGGGACCACCAGCUUGCCUAAGGAGGGGUGAACCGGCCCAGGUCGGAAACGAAGUAGGUCAAAACUCCCAUGCUGAUCGGUAGUGGGAUCACGCCUGUGAACAGCCAUUGCACUCCAGCCUGGGCAACAUAGCGAGACCCUGUCUCU
rnacentral:SRP_RNA from 1 species